rnacentral:rRNA from 1 species
GACGAAGGAUGGCAAGCGUUAUCCGGAUUCAUUGGGUUUAAAGGGAGCGUAGGUGGUCUUAUAAGUCAGUGGAUUGAAAUCUCUGGGCUUAACCCAGAAAUUGCCAUUGAUACUGUAGGACUUGAGUAUAGUUGCCGUUGGCGGAAUAUGACAUGUAGUGGUGAAAUACAUAGAGAUGUCAUAGAACACCGAUUGCGAAGGCAGCUAACGAAACUAAUAACUGACACUGAGGCUCGAA